rnacentral:tRNA from 3 species
GGUUCUAUAGUUCAAGGGAUAGAACGGAAGUUUCCUAAACUUUAAAUCCCAGUUCGAGUCUGGGUAGAACCA